GCAAUGACAUCACAACAUAAUUUAGCAACUUUUAGCCACAAAUCAACCUGCCUCUAGCAACUUACCCUGAAAAUUAGUUGGCAACACUGCCUCCAAUAGCUACUCUACCCUUCUGUCAAAGUGGCUGCGCCAAGUGGCACACAUCCGAUAGCAUUUUUAACGUCCUUUGAUUUGAAUUCUUUGAAUAACGUCUCGGCGGCAACUGCCAUUGCCUCCUUGUAUAGCUCUCCAUCGGUGAACGAUUUAUUGUUUAGCCAAGAGAUGGCCGACACGGAAGGAUGCCUCUGUUGCAGCCUUACUUUUAGCUGUCGGUUUGGUAAAAAGCGAAUGCUGUGCUUUCAAGACAGACUUGAGCUUGUCAACUUUCUUUGAACUAAGCGUGCUCUUUAGCGGGUAGGUUUCUUUGAACUUGGAUGGUGUGCUGUCGAUCCACCUUACCCCUUUUUGCGAGCGCUACAGCCUGGUGACAAAUCAGGCAAAUCCUUUCAUCCCUAACUACGGUGAACAGAAAACCGUGUCCCCAUUCUACAUGAAAAUACGUUUUUUUGCUUUUUCCGUUGUGCCUCCGCUGUCGUUUCGUUAGCUUGCGUAUUGUUAGCUUGAUAGCUCGUGAGCGUUACAACAAGUGCCUGAGCUAGUUAAGGCGGAUAUACCCCUCCCUCGCCCCUCAUCACUACACACAGGGCUCACACGUGGCACAUUUGAAAUUAAAUUCAUAAAUAAUAAGAAUAAAUUAAAACAUUUAGACAUUUCUUUUUUUUCCUUUUUUUCUGAUUUUGAAAUCUCCUCGUGAUUGACUUGGAAUGCUUCCAAGAUCGGCUUGUCGACAGUGAUCAACGGGUUGGUGACUCCUGGUUUAAACCAUGACAGAGAGGAGAAACGUGUUGGCCUGCAAGUGGGAGGGUUUUCAGCAGUUAAAUUAAAUGUAUUCAGCGUCCGCAAGGGAACCACGCCUGCAAAGCCCAUUACGCAUCUGCACAAGGCUAGUAAUGAACGUGUUACUACAGAAGUGUCCAAGAGUGGACAGGCUGUCAGUGUAAACUUGACCCUUUGAUCGCCAAAGUCCAGGAUGCAUAAAGGUAACAUUAGGUAACAAGCAUUUCACUACACACGCAAUAACAUCUGCUAAACACGUGUAUGUGACCAAUAAUUGUUUUGAAUUACGCCUGGC
rnacentral:lncRNA from 1 species